rnacentral:rRNA from 1 species
GAUGAACGCUGGCGGCGUGCCUAAUACAUGCAAGUCGAGCGAACAGACGAGGAGCUUGCUCCUCUGACGUUAGCGGCGGACGGGUGAGUAACACGUGGAUAACCUACCUAUAAGACUGGGAUAACUUCGGGAAACCGGAGCUAAUACCGGAUAAUAUAUUGAACCGCAUGGUUCAAUAGUGAAAGACGGUUUUGCUGUCACUUAUAGAUGGAUCCGCGCCGCAUUAGCUAGUUGGUACGGUAACGGCUUACCAAGGCAACGAUGCGUAGCCGACCUGAGAGGGUGAUCGGCCACACUGGAACUGAGACAGGGUCCAGACUCCUACGGGAGGCAGCAGUAGGGAAUCUUCCGCAAUGGGCGAAAGCCUGACGGAGCAACGCCGCGUGAGUGAUGAAGGUCUUCGGAUCGUAAAACUCUGUUAUUAGGGAAGAACAAAUGUGUAAGUAACUAUGCACGUCUUGACGGUACCUAAUCAGAAAGCCACGGCUAACUACGUG